ACAGAUCACGCCUCUGCACUCCAGCCUUGUCAACAAGAGCGAAAUUCCGUCUCAAAAAAAAAAAAAAAGAAAGCAAGAAAAAGCAACUUAACAUGUAGAACUCUUUCUGGUCAUGCCACAUUGUUUCUUUUUCCUCAUUUCCUUUCACUCACGAGCUCGAGCUCUUUUGAAUGCUCAAACGUGUGCUUGUGGUGAGGUGCCCCUGGAAUUCCUUUUAUUCUAAGACAAUGGCCUUCCAGGAGUACCUGCAGGAAGACCUGUUAAGACUGGCCUGGGACCUCCUAGACUUGCCUGGGACCUCCCUGCAGGAGUUGCCAAAUGGAACCGGGAGGGAAGAGAGGUUUGCCUUUGCCCUUGGCCUUGGUUUGGGGUGGAGACACCCAGGCUGAGACAUUCUCCCCUCCAUAGCUGGCCAAGUUCCAAUCUGGCAUGGCUGUCCCUGCUGCCAUUGUCAUGGGCUCUUUCGGGGGAGUUCCGGACAGCACCACUGUGCAAAAGAUUGUCCUGGCCUCCAGAAAGUCGGCUCCAAAUGACACUGAGGGAAGAAAGAGGAAAUCUCUGCAGUGUACUUCCCUGAGUUUUUGGGGAAUGGUUCUCUUUCCCCUCUUUCCAUCCCUUCUCUACAAAUCCAGGGCUCACAGUUAAGCCCUAGGUUUGUAACACGGCUUCAUAACUAAGAAUGGCAUUAAUUAGCAACACUGUAUAAAUAAAAAGGGGGGCCAACAAGGAUGGAGGGCGUGGGGGGAGUAUGUGGUUGGCCAUCCCAGGCCACCUUCCUCCUCCAGCUCCCAGGCUUGCUUCAGCUUUGCUGCAAGUUCCUGCCAAUAUAUUUCUGCUUGGGACAGGAGCCAAGGGUCAGAUAAAGUUCCAACUGUAUUUUGCAGCAGGUCUGACACUUUGCCCAGUGCUCUAGGCCUGUGACAGUGCCAGGAUAGUAUAUUGGGAAAGCCAGUCCAGAAGGAGUUGGUUUAAAUGUGUUUGAGGUAGCAGGCAGGUGACUAAGCAGACAGUUCAGCAACACAACACUCAGUAACACCAUCAGACCAAUGUGGCUCCCAGGGACAUGGAAGGCCUGUGUUCCUUUCCCAGGAAGCCCCCAGCAGCUACCGUGCUCAUGCCCCAGCAUUUCAGGGACCAAGAUCUGUAGCCCCAUUUUGUGAUCUUUAGUAAGACAAGUAAACACUGAACACUAAGUGUGCUUAUGCCAACCACUUUACAUACAUGAUCUGAUGGAAUCCUCAGCACAGCUGAUGAGGGAGUUACUGUUAUUUUCCUAGCCAUACAGUUAGUAGCUGACACUACAGGGAACAGACACACUUACUGUCUAUGAGGAUCUCUUCUAAACACUUUCCAUGCAUUAACUAAUUUUUUGGGGAAACUGAGGCAGAGCAGGAGCAAAGCCAGUUGUCCAGUGUCACACAACUGGUGGGUGUGGACCUGAAACCACUGGAGGCUGGGUGAUUCCAGAAUGGAGGGUUCACCCCUGCACUACCCCCUGAUUUUCCAAGUGGGGUAACAGGUUCGGAGACAGUCAGGGAAGAGAAACCAGGGUGAGAUGGGUUAGUUCAGAUGAGGUCAAAGGUUGCACUCUCUUCUGCUUCCUGACAAGCAUAAUGAGAGGCACCCAUGGGAACAGAAGCUCAGACAUCUGACCCUGAGCCCUCUGCCACUCUUCCUUCCUCUCCUCUGGCCCAGUUGGUCUGAACCGUGUUGUUCCAGGUCUCACGGGAGCUGCUGUGGGACACAGAAUGGGCAAGAGGAUUUUUGUUCACACAAGGUUGUUCCUGGAGGACCAGGCGCAGUGGCUCACCCCUAUAAUCCCAGCACUUUGGGACGCCAAGGCAGGCGGAUC
rnacentral:lncRNA from 1 species